rnacentral:lncRNA from 12 species
UUAUUUUAUCUGCUUUACCUCUUUACAUAGAGCAGGGAUUCCAAACUCAAAUGCCUUCAGAUAAACCAGGCUCUUAACUUCACUGAGCAGGUCAGGUGGAAUCUUCAUUUCUAUAUAGAAAAUUGUUUUCUUCGAGAUAUACUGAAAUAUGCAAGCCUUUCAGUUUAUUAAUUAUUUUUCAUUUUUGACAGAGACGUGGGAAUAAAUAAUACAACCCAUUCCUUUGGAUCCUAGGAAAACAGCAAUGCAAGCCCAAUGAAGACUAUGAACAGACACUCCAUCUGGGUACUAGGAAGAGAGAAAAACAAAUGGAAGGAAAUCAUGUUGGAUCUAAAGUUCAUAAGCAUUUCUGGAACCUCUCCUCAAGAAAAAUUCCAAAGUGAAUAA